rnacentral:lncRNA from 1 species
AUGCCUAGUAUUGGACACCUGCACUUCUGGUGGCCGUUUCCCUGGAAACAGACGAUGCCUAGUAUUGGACACCUACACUUCUGGUGGCCGUUUCCCUGGAAACAGACGAUGCCUAGUAUUGGACACGUACACUUCUGGUGGCCGUUUCCCCGGAAACAGACGAUGCCUAGUAUUGGACACGUACACUUCUGGUGGCCGUUUCCCCGGAAACAGACGAUGCCUAGUAUUGGACACGUACACUUCUGGUGGCCGUUUCCCCGGAAACAGACGAUGCCUAGUAUUGGACACCUACACUUCUGGUGGCCGUUUCCCUGGAAACAGACGAUGCCUAGUAUUGGACACGUACACUUCUGGUGGCCGUUUCCCCGGAAACAGACGAUGCCUAGUAUUGGACACUACACUUCUGGUGACCGUUUCCCCGGGAAACAGACGAUGCCUAGUAUUGGACAUGUACACUUCUGGUGGCCGUUUCCCCGGAAACAGACGAUGCCUAGUAUUGGACACCUGCACUUCUGGUGGCCGUUUCCCUGGAAACAGACGAUGCCUAGUAUUGGACACUACACUUCUGGUGGCCGUUUCCCUGGAAACAGACGAUGCCUAGUAUUGGACACCUGCACUUCUGGUGGCCGUUUCCCUGGAAACAGGCGAUGCCUAGUAUUGGACACCUACACUUCUGGUGGCCGUUUCCCCGGAAACAGACGAUGCCUAGUAUUGGACACGUACACUUCUGGUGGCCGUUUCCCCGGAAACAGACGAUGCCUAGUAUUGGACACGUACACUUCUGGUGGCCGUUUCCCCGGAAACAGACGAUGCCUAGUAUUGGACACGUACACUUCUGGUGGCCGUUUCCCCGGAAACAGACGAUGCCUAGUAUUGGACACCUACACUUCUGGUUGCCGUUUCCCUGGAAACAGACGAUGCCUAGUAUUGGACACGUACACUUCUGGUGGCCGUUUCCCCGGAAACAGACGAUGCCUAGUAUUGGACACUACACUUCUGGUGGCCGUUUCCCUGGAAACAGACGAUGCCUAG